rnacentral:rRNA from 1 species
GCCUGUCCCAGUUCGGACUGGAGUCUGNAACCCGACUCCACGAAGUUGGAUUCGCUAGUAAUCGCGCAUCAGCCAUGGCGCGGUGAAUACGUUCCCGGGCCUUGUACACACCGCCCGUCAAGCCAUGGGAGCCGGGGCGCCUGAAGUCCGGGACCGCGAGGAUCGGCCUAGGGCGAAACUGGUAACUGGGGCUAAGUCGUAACAAGGUAUC